GGGAGUGUAGGUUAGUGGACAAACCAGCGGACUCCAAACCCGCGACCAUGGGUUCGAAUCCCAUCACUCCCA
rnacentral:tRNA from 1 species